UUAGAGUUUGAAACCUGGCUCAGGACGAACGCUGGCGGCGUGCCUAAUACAUGCAAGUCGAGCGGACAGAUGGGAGCUUGCUCCCUGAUGUUAGCGGCGGACGGGUGAGUAACACGUGGGUAACCUGCCUGUAAGACUGGGAUAACUCCGGGAAACCGGGGCUAAUACCGGAUGGUUGUUUGAACCGCAUGGUUCAGACAUAAAAGGUGGCUUCGGCUACCACUUACAGAUGGACCCGCGGCGCAUUAGCUAGUUGGUGAGGUAACGGCUCACCAAGGCGACGAUGCGUAGCCGACCUGAGAGGGUGAUCGGCCACACUGGGACUGAGACACGGCCCAGACUCCUACGGGAGGCAGCAGUAGGGAAUCUUCCGCAAUGGACGAAAGUCUGACGGAGCAACGCCGCGUGAGUGAUGAAGGUUUUCGGAUCGUAAAGCUCUGUUGUUAGGGAAGAACAAGUGCCGUUCAAAUAGGGCGGCACCUUGACGGUACCUAACCAGAAAGCCACGGCUAACUACGUGCCAGCAGCCGCGGUAAUACGUAGGUGGCAAGCGUUGUCCGGAAUUAUUGGGCGUAAAGGGCUCGCAGGCGGUUUCUUAAGUCUGAUGUGAAAGCCCCCGGCUCAACCGGGGAGGGUCAUUGGAAACUGGGGAACUUGAGUGCAGAAGAGGAGAGUGGAAUUCCACGUGUAGCGGUGAAAUGCGUAGAGAUGUGGAGGAACACCAGUGGCGAAGGCGACUCUCUGGUCUGUAACUGACGCUGAGGAGCGAAAGCGUGGGGAGCGAACAGGAUUAGAUACCCUGGUAGUCCACGCCGUAAACGAUGAGUGCUAAGUGUUAGGGGGUUUCCGCCCCUUAGUGCUGCAGCUAACGCAUUAAGCACUCCGCCUGGGGAGUACGGUCGCAAGACUGAAACUCAAAGGAAUUGACGGGGGCCCGCACAAGCGGUGGAGCAUGUGGUUUAAUUCGAAGCAACGCGAAGAACCUUACCAGGUCUUGACAUCCUCUGACAAUCCUAGAGAUAGGACGUCCCCUUCGGGGGCAGAGUGACAGGUGGUGCAUGGUUGUCGUCAGCUCGUGUCGUGAGAUGUUGGGUUAAGUCCCGCAACGAGCGCAACCCUUGAUCUUAGUUGCCAGCAUUCAGUUGGGCACUCUAAGGUGACUGCCGGUGACAAACCGGAGGAAGGUGGGGAUGACGUCAAAUCAUCAUGCCCCUUAUGACCUGGGCUACACACGUGCUACAAUGGACAGAACAAAGGGCAGCGAAACCGCGAGGUUAAGCCAAUCCCACAAAUCUGUUCUCAGUUCGGAUCGCAGUCUGCAACUCGACUGCGUGAAGCUGGAAUCGCUAGUAAUCGCGGAUCAGCAUGCCGCGGUGAAUACGUUCCGCCUUGUACACACCGCCCGUCACACCACGAGAGUUUGUAACACCCGAAGUCGGUGAGGUAACCUUUAUGGAGCCAGCCGCCGAAGUGGACAGAUGAUUGGUGAAGUCGUAACAAGGAACCGUA
rnacentral:rRNA from 1 species